ACCACCCCCACCGCGUCCCUUCCCCCCCACCUCCACACCACACCGCGGACAGGCGAGGGGGAGGGGGGAGGCAGGAUCACUCAGAGCCGCCUUGUCUGCUGCUUAAAAGGAACCCAGCCCAGGCCCAGCCUCCGGCUGCUCAGCAGCCACCGGAGCAGCUCCCAGGAACCUCCUCAGCCGAGCGAGAAGCCAGCUAGGCCCCGCUGCGGCUUCCCGGGGAUGCAGAGCGAGGAGCGGGCUCCUCACGCCAACGGCAGGGUCACGUCCCCGCCCGGCCCCACACGCAGACACCCGGAGGGCAGGCGGGAAAGGGGGGGGGGGGGCACCUCUGCGACAGGCCCGGCGGGGACAGCCCCUCGGCCCACCCUCCCCAGGCCGCAAGUCGCCCGGCCGCGGUACGGAGAGGAGGGAAGGGAGAAGGAAGCCGCAAAGCAGGGCAGGCUCUCCCUCUACGGCCACCCCGCAGAGAGAGAGAUAGCCUGAAAACUUGCAUAAUGGAAGAAUAACAGCAGUCCAGAAUAUUACAGUUAUCACAUUCUGCUCAUGCCUGAAUUAAGGUACCAACCACCUUUCUUUUCUACAGCACUGCUUUCAAAGCUUGCGAUCUGCCAAAGGUGGACCAGAGGCUUUUAUGUUGUGUAUAUACAUGAUGUUAUGUUUCACUUGAUGUUGUGCUGUCUUACCUUCUAUGUAAGGUAAGACUUCUUACCUACCUGUCUUACCUGUGUCUGAGAUUAUUUCAGUUAUCUUUCUUUUGUAUGUCAUUUUCACAGCUUUCAUGAGUUGUCUUUACAAUAUGCCAUAUGCCAUUUUCUGAAUUGUAUCAGUCUUCAUUUGGUGGAAUACCCUCUACUUCUUACCAUUAUCAAAAUUGAAGUUAGUGAAGUUGGAAGCUAGAGUUGUACAAAGAGAAGCUUAGAAAGCAUCUUAAUUUUGUUGUACCAAAAGAAUAUAAACCCCAUGCCUCCAAGAAGUCAUACUUAUUCACUUCCUUAACUAGCAUCAUAUUGCACAGGUAUUCCCGCUAGCAUGGAAUCGAUCAGUGGCUAUGAUACAAGUUAUCCGCGUCUAGAAAAAGACCAAAUUUUUUGAUGGAAAGCAUAGUUCUAUGAUCUGCACAAUCCGAUUUGAAUUUGCACUUUUCUUUCUCCUCUUCCUUCCUUAUACAGACCUUGCAGUAAAUUUUAUAACAGAACCAAAAUUAACUGCCAAAACAUCUUGGAAGAUUUUUUUUCUGACAAAUCAGCUCUUUGAUCUGAUUGCAGCGCCACAUAAACACCAGAGUCAGCACAAGGAAGGGGCCUUUUGAAGCAUGGUGUCACAUGCCAAGUUCAAUGAAUACAACAGAAGAGUAUGGGUUACCUCGAGUCACUCCUACUUUUGUGCAGACUGGAAUACUGCCAACCAAAUUCUUUUUAUUGCACACAAGAAUCUUUUUUUUUUUUUAUUAGACAUGAAAUUGCCUUUUUUUAAAUUAGAUGUUAGCUUCCAAGCAGAAGACAACAAAAGCUAUAACUGGCCUGGUUACAGUGAUCAUCAGGCUCCUGCUCUUCUAUGCAUUGUUCUUUUUCUUCUUGACCUUUAUUAUUCUCUUCUCACGUGCCAUCCUUGCAAGGUUGUUUGAUCCCCAGGAGGCCCACUUUCCUUCCCUUGACUACGAUUCUUCUAAUCUGGAAAUAUUUGCUCUGGUAAACUGCCAGAACAGUUCUUCUAGAGGAAUAACCUAGAUAAAUGCAAGACCUGAGCAAAACUAAAAUUCUAAAUCCAAACUUAGGACUGGAUUAAGAGUUUGAGAACAUACAUACUUUCCAAAGUUAAUGUCCCGCUGUGUCCCAACAUUGCACUAAUACUGUAGUCCUGUUUUACUUUAAGGUAAAGAUGGAGUUAACCAUUCACCAAAAGAAGAAAAAAACCAACAAAACAAAAAGAAAACCAAGGAAAAAAAAACCAAAACAACCACCCUGAGAUAGACUAGGGGUUGAGAUAGUAAAACUGGUCAUUGCCCCCAUUCCUUCUUUGGGACACUUCAGCCUCUCCUGGCCUGCCUCAUACUUUGUAUUUUUAAGCCUUCAUUUUCUAUAUGAACUUACAUAGUUGGUCACUUGACUUCAGAAUAGUAAUUGCAGAAUGUGAAAGACUUAACUGAAACUUUUUUUUUUUUUACAUUAGUCAUGUUGACUACUUUAACCAGAGCUUUGUCUGAUGUGGUAUGACUGAAUUAUCUUCUGUUUGAUCUUUCUAUUGCUCUGCUGUAGGUUCCCAUUCCUGUAGCAACAAUAGCUGAAUAGAUUGCACAUUUACUCCUCUGCUGCCACGAUUUACAAUGAAAGGUAAACUACCAGUGAUUUCAGCAGAUGCUAAGAGAUGGGAGCUGUGGCAGUUGGAAAGCAAGUAAAUAAUUUCUGCUCUACAGAGGAUAGUGUCAAAAAGGUGAAUUCCAGCCAGUCUAGUUAUAUCUGUGACCUCUAGUCUGGAAUGAUGCUGGAAAUGGUUGGAAUCCAUUUCCUAGGAAAUCCUUAAUUUCACUAAAGGAAGUAAGUCUCUACCUGUAAACUGUAAAGUUACCUAUGAAACUUGGCUGAAGUGCAACUGUAAAUCAGUUUAAAUUUACACACUUAUGUUUCAGCACUUGACUUUUAUUGCUCUAUUAGCAUUUCAAAUGUUUUAACAAGGUUCAUGUCUAACUAGACUUUGAUAUCACAGCACCCUGUGAAGACAAAUUCAGUUAGUUUAACUUACCCCAAAUGUUAGAGAACACACUCAAAACAAUUCAUAGCCCUGUCUAUUAGGCCAAAAACAUGUCAUGUAAGAAUAGAUAAUGCUCACUACACCACCAAGCUACAUUAAAACAGUUUGCUCCAAAAUCAGCUGCCUAACUGGCUGUUCAGCAUUUUAGAAGGAAAAUAGUCUGCAUUCUAAUAAACGUUAUUACCAGCUAUUAGGUGUGGUAAGAAUCACACUGUACAGCCAGGUAAACAGGGCAAGCUCCACUUUAGAAUGGUUUCAGACUUUAUCUUAGACCCUGUUUCUCAAGUUGUAAUCUUGGUUAGUAAUUCAGUUGAAGUUUUUUGUUUGCAUACUUCUGUACCCAUAAAGGUCUGGUGGAGAUUGGACUGUACUAACUUGAGAUUCAGUGCUACUAGUCUAACCACUCCUUUUUCCAGAUGAGAUAGCCUGAGGAUUAUACCUCCAAUCUCAACCUCAUUUUGGGAUAAUAUCCCUCACUGUGUGUUUCAGUCUUAAUUUUGGUUGUUUCAGUCUACAAAGUAUUGUCAGAUGACUGGUCAUCUCAUGCCAUUGAUUGGAAAGCAAGGCAACAGCUACAUUUCUGAGCAUGAGCAACAGCGCCAUCAGCAACUGAACCAUCUCACCAAUCAAAGAGGGAGAGCACAGACAGCUGGCCUUUUUUUUU